rnacentral:rRNA from 1 species
GGGCCCGCACAAGCGGUGGAGCAUGUGGUUUAAUUCGACGCAACGCGAAGAACCUUACCUGGGCUUGAACUGCUAUGGACCGGUCUAGAGAUAGGCCUUUUCGCAAGAACCGUAGUAGAGGUGCUGCAUGGCUGUCGUCAGCUCGUGUCGUGAGAUGUUGGGUUAAGUCCCGCAACGAGCGCAACCCUUACCUGUAGUUGCCAGCGAGUAAAGUCGGGAACUCUACAGGGACUGCCCGGGUUAACCGGGAGGAAGGUGGGGAUGAUGUCAAGUCCUCAUGGCCCUUAUGUCCAGGGCUACACACGUGCUACAAUGGGCGAUACAAACCGUUGCCAAGCCGCGAGGUGGAGCUAAUCGGAGAAAGUCGCCCUCAGUUCGGAUUGCAGUCUGCAACUCGACUGCAUGAAGGUGGAAUCGCUAGUAAUCGUGUAUCAGAACGAUACGGUGAAUACGUUCCCGGGCCUU